UACGUAGGGGGCAAGCGUUGUCCGGAAUUAUUGGGCGUAAAGAGCUCGUAGGCGGUCCAUUAAGUCAGAUGUGAAAUCUCAGGGCUCAACCCUGAGCCUGCAUCUGAUACUGGUGGACUUGAGGCAGGUAGGGGAAGGUGGAAUUCCUGGUGUAGCGGUGAAAUGCGCAGAUAUCAGGAGGAACACCAGUGGCGAAGGCGGCCUUCUGGGCCUGUUCUGACGCUGAGGAGCGAAAGCGUGGGGAGCGAACAGG
rnacentral:rRNA from 2 species